CUCCAUCACUCCGCUCCUCUUCCUGGUUUUGCUGACUCAGAGGAAACGCUGAGCUGUGUGACAGCCGUCACCUCGCACUGAGAUGGGAAGCGUGUGUGUGUCUGUCUGUGUGUACCUGAGGCAGGAUGUGGUGGGCAGAGUCCAUCUGAGCUCAAACAAAGCGACUGAGGAGGGAUGGAGGGAAACAGAGAUGGAAGCAGGGGGGGCGGCUGUGGUGCGUCUCUGGCGUCUGCUGCUGCUGAGAUUUGACACAGUCAGCGUCUCUUCGGCUCAGCUUACCUACAGUGCACAAAGUCAAGAAGCUGUUCAGUCUGUGCAGUAAUGCAGUGGAGAGGACUGUCCGCAGUGGCAGUGGAGGGUCAAUGGGCAAUCAAUUAUUCCACUCGGCCUGGCCCGCAGCCACACCACAGACUGCCUUCCUGCACCCGGAGCACUUACACACGGUGGAUCCACUCAGUCUUGACUGGAAACACAGCCCACAGAACCCACAGGGUUAAUGUAAUAAGACAGCAAUGUUGGAAGAAAACUCAAAAGGGCACUUUUCAGUCCAGAUUCUAAGUAUUAAGAAGCCUCAGACAAAGUGCUUACAGCGUGCUGAGCCUAGCUCUGUUCUUGGAAGUGAAAAUGUAUAGAAAUAAAAAGCCACAAGGGAGUUCCUUGUUUUUAUUUUGGGACCCCUGUAGGCGAUCAGUGCUUGAAAUGCAACAAAUGUAUCCCCACCUUACCCCAAUGGAGAAAUGUCUAACAUUUAGUAGCAGAGCUGAAC